rnacentral:rRNA from 1 species
CGGGGCAGGGUGAGUCGACCCCUAAGGCGAGGCCGAAAGGCGUAGUCGAUGGGAAACGGGUUAAUAUUCCCGUACUUGGUGUUACUGCGAAGGGGGGACGGAGAAGGCUAUGUUGGCCGGGCGACGGUUGUCCCGGUUUAAGCGUGUAGGUGUGUGUUCCAGGUAAAUCCGGUUCACUUUAACACUGAGGCGUGACGACGAGGCACUACGGUGCUGAAGCAACAAAUGCCCUGCUUCCAGGAAAAGCCUCUAAGCAUCAGGUAACAUCAAAUCGUACCCCAAACCGACACAGGUGGUCAGGUAGAGAAUACCAAGGCGCUUGAGAGAACUCGGGUGAAGGAACUAGGCAAAAUGGUGCCGUAACUUCGGGAGAAGGCACGCUGACACGUAGGUGAAGUGAUUUACUCAUGGAGCUGAAGUCAGUCGAAGAUACCAGCUGGCUGCAACUGUUUAUUAAAAACACAGCACUGUGCAAACACGAAAGUGGACGUAUACGGUGUGACGCCUGCCCGGUGCCGGAAGGUUAAUUGAUGGGGUCAGCGCAAGCGAAGCUCCUGAUCGAAGCCCCGGUAAACGGCGGCCGUAACUAUAACGGUCCUAAGGUAGCGAAAUUCCUUGUCGGGUAAGUUCCGACCUGCACGAAUGGCGUAAUGAUGGCCAGGCUGUCUCCACCCGAGACUCAGUGAAAUUGAACUCGCUGUGAAGAUGCAGUGUACCCGCGGCAAGACGGAAAGACCCCGUGAACCUUUACUAUAGCUUGACACUGAACAUUGAGCCUUGAUGUGUAGGAUAGGUGGGAGGCUUUGAAGUGUGGACGCCAGUCUGCAUGGAGCCGACCUUGAAAUACCACCCUUUAAUGUUUGAUGUUCUAACGUGGACCCGUUACCCGGGUUGCGGACAGUGUCUGGUGGGUAGUUUGACUGGGGCGGUCUCCUCCUAAAGAGUAACGGAGGAGCACGAAGGUUGGCUAAUCCUGGUCGGACAUCAGGAGGUUAGUGCAAUGGCAUAAGCCAGCUUGACUGCGAGCGUGACGGCGCGAGCAGGUGCGAAAGCAGGUCAUAGUGAUCCGGUGGUUCUGAAUGGAAGGGCCAUCGCUCAACGGAUAAAAGGUACUCCGGGGAUAACAGGCUGAUACCGCCCAAGAGUUCAUAUCGACGGCGGUGUUUGGCACCUCGAUGUCGGCUCAUCACAUCCUGGGGCUGAAGUAGGUCCCAAGGGUAUGGCUGUUCGCCAUUUAAAGUGGUACGCGAGCUGGGUUUAGAACGUCGUGAGACAGUUCGGUCCCUAUCUGCCGUGGGCGCUGGAGAACUGAGGGGGGCUGCUCCUAGUACGAGAGGACCGGAGUGGACGCAUCACUGGUGUUCGGGUUGUCAUGCCAAUGGCACUGCCCGGUAGCUAAAUGCGGAAGAGAUAAGUGCUGAAAGCAUCUAAGCACGAAACUUGCCCCGAG